UGAAGCACUUGAACCUGGGAAGCAGAGGUUGCAGUGAGCCGAGAUGGCACCUCUGCACUCUAGCUUGGGCAACACAGCAAGACUUUUGUCUAAAAAGAUUUUAAAAAACAGAAAGUCCAGGCUGAAAACUAAAACUAGUUCUCUGAAAAAAUAUCUCCAGCAAACCUAAAGUAUAGUCUACGGAUGUAUUUGUCUGGUGAUCUAAUUUAGUACAGUGAUAUAACUUAGAGAAUGUAUAAUGUAAAUAUAUUUCAUCAAUUCAUAGGUGAGGGCUAGAUGGAAGUCUCCUUGGAGAACUGGAAAUAGAGGUGUGGGGUGGUGGUGAUGAGAACCCACGCAUUUGACCUACGGAGCAUGCUCAGAUCGAGGCCCAUCGUGCUUUCACAGUCAACUGUGGGGAUAGGGUGGGUAGCAUCAGGAGUUUUCUCAUGGAGUAGUACUGGAUCUACUUGGGUUCACACCACAGAUCAGGAAGGUAACAACUUUUCUCGCAAGCAUCGCUAGAAAGAUCUGGUCACCAUCGUCUCACCACAGGUGUUAGUAUAAAAUAAGCACACUUCCUGCUGCUACCACCGUACCUAUCUAGAGAAGGAGACAGCUCCAGUAAGAAAAAGUGAGACUUACAGUGUGCCCCACGGUACUUUGUCCUUCUUGUUUGUAAUUAUAGAAUAUUAUAAUGAUUGCAUUCAGUCUUCCCAUGUAAAUUGAAAGCCAUCGGAGCAUUUUCUUGACUUUUUUAUAGAAUUGGUACAGUGACUUAAGUUCUACUCAUCAUGUAAUGAGUAAUGAGUGCUUUUAGAAUGAAUACAAAUGUAAUUUUUAGGAAGUUCAGGAAAAAAUCUUACCAAGAAUAUCCAAGGGGGGCUGGCAAGUCCCAGUGCGAGUGGAGGGUGCCAGAGGUAGGGGGCCGAGAAACAAAGUUCCCAGGGCUCCCUCCAGGGCCGUGGUCAGGGCUGCGCGUUUGGCCGCCCCCCUCCUCGCGAAGACAAUGGCUUCCAAACGCCUGCGCGCAGUCAUCCUCGGGCUGCCCGGCUGGGGCAAGGGCACCGUGUGCCAGAGGAUCGCCCAGAACUUUGGCCUCCAGCAUCUCUCCAGCGGCCACUUCUUGGGGGAGAACAUCAAAGCCAACACCGAAGUUGGUGAGACGGCACAGCAGUAUAUAGAGAAAAGUCUUUUGGUUCCAGACCAUGUGAUCACACGCCUAAUGAUGUCGGAGUUGGAGAAUAGGCGUGGCCAGCACUGGCUCCUUGAUGGUUUUCCUAGGACAUUAGGACAAGCCGAAGCCCUGGACAAAAUCUGUGAAGUGGAUCUAGUGAUCAGUUUGAACAUUCCAUUUGAAACACUUAAAGAUCGUCUCAGCCGCUGUUGAAUUCACCCUCCUAGUGGAAGGGUAUAUAACCUGGACUUCAAUCCACCUCAUGUACAUGGUAUUGAUGAUGUCACCGGUGAGCCAUUAGUCCAGCAGGAGGAUGAUAAACCUGAAGCAGUUGCUGCCAGGCUAAGACAGUACAAAGACGUGGCGAAGCCAGUCAUUGACUUAUACAAGAGCCGAGGGGUGCUCCACCAAUUUUCCGGGACGGAGACGAACAAAAUCUGGCCCUACAUUUACACACUUUUCUCGAACAAGAUCACACCUAUUCAGUCCAAAAGAAGCAUAUUGACCCUGCCCAAUGGAAGAACCAGAAAGAUGUGGUCAUUCAUUCAAUUGUGUGUGUAGUAUUGGUGCUGUGUCCAAAUUAGAAGCUAGCUGAGGUAGCUUACAGCAUCUUUUCUAGUUGAAAUGGUGAACUGAUAGGAAAACAAAUGAGUAGAAAGAGUUCACAAGAGGCCUUCCUCUGCCUUUCAAAAGGAAAGUCACCUACACAUGUUUAAGGUGUCUCUGCACAUGUCUCAAGCCCUUCACAAGAAAGCAAGUACAGUGUGGAUUUCAAAUGGUAUGUAACCUCAGCUCCAGCUGGUUUUUGACAGCCUGGUCUUGAGUGAGUGUGUCCACAGUUCAUUUUUUUCCGGUGAGAAUAACUCCUUUUCUAUAUCCACACUCCAUAAAGUCUCUCCUUUUCAGACAUCCUGGGAUGAAAGAAUUUGGCUGUUUUUUUUUUUUUUUUUUUGACAUCUGUUUUCUCUUUUAGGCUGUUAAACAAAACUGAUAGUUAUUGCUCUUAUCCCUCUCAAAUUCUUCUAAGAACUGAGAGUGAUGGGGCUGUAUUGAAUUUCUGUAUGCACCGGAAACUGAGCCAUGAAGAGGAUCUUAUUAAACUGCUGGUCUGACUCUCAUGGAUUGACACUGUUCCUUUCUUUUAUUGUGAAAAAAAAAUAACCCCCUAAAAGUCUUGGGAACCCCCUAAAGUCUUUUGGAAAUCCUCAAAAAGCAUGGGAAGUAUAAGUAUUUAGCUACAUAAAUGUUGUAAGAUCAUAUCUUAUGUAUAGAAGUAAUAAGACUAUUUGGAAUUACUAGACUAAUUGAAUAGUUAACGGUUUCUAUUCAGUACAACAAAAUGUAUUUUGAAAAUGCUGC